rnacentral:lncRNA from 1 species
AUCAGUUUGUAUGAGGCUAUUUUAACUUUUAUUUGACUAACUUUGAAUUAAUCAAGCAACAAUGGCGAGAGACCCCUCUCAUUAUGACACAAAUGGUUUAGUCCACACCUGCACUAGAUUACGGGCUAAUUUAUUUUAAAACGGUCCAAAAGAGCAAAACAAAGUCAAGUGAGGUUAUUUAUUUAUUUUUUAUUUUUUUUAAAGAACAACACACUUAGAACAGGCCAGGUGAACCAGACUGAAGCACCUGCCGCGGUUCAACAGCUCACUGAAGACAACAAGCUCUGCACUCACGGCCUGAUCCCCUCCUCCCUGUAUACCGGUACAUGUUCAGUAGGAUGGAAGCGUCGGACAUCGAACAGGCAAAGAUAGACUCCGAAGAUGUCUACUGACCAGGUAACGUCUGAGUGAAUGCCUGCUAGUGUCUUCCAUUGAGGCUGCUUCUUAUGUCGCCGAUGUAUGUGACGGCGUGCCGUUAAGCAAUUUGUGAUUCUCGCGAGAUUUGGCGGGACGCCACCUUUCAGACUUGCAUUGCUAGUUCUGCCAACGGUGUCCCUCUCCUGCUUUGCUAUUGGGAUGAUUCGCUAUACUACAAGUUCGUUUACCAUCAAAAUGACUUCGAAGCUGUUAUAUUAAGGUAAAAAUCUUGCAUAGUGUGCCUUUAACUGUGUAACAAAAUAGCUGUUUGGCUUUGUUUUUUCUUCAAAAUUCAGUUAGCAAGUAAGUUUUCAAUUUGUCUGGCUGCUUGUGUUUCUUGUCCCAUAUGACCUUAUUUUCGCCAGAGCCAUGAAAAUAAAUCUCAAGUUGUAGUAAAUGUUCAACAGGUCCUACUA